AUUGUCUUGUGCUUCGAGCUGUCGGCUGAGGCGCUUCAGUUUAGCCCUUGUGGUGGCUGCGAGGAGAAAGAGAGGAAGGGAAGGGGAGUUAAGGUCGAAGGCUGAGCGUGAGAUCUUCUGCAAAGAUAGCAGCUGAAGUGGCUUAGUUUGUUGAUCAUUUACUUUUACAUUUUCCAGAGUAUACUUUGAACCUCUACAGGGAAAAUAAUCAGGAGGGGAAGGUGGGGGUGGGGAAAACCCUCAACUGCAUCUUUGCCCACUGCCCUUCCGUACAAAGGCUUGUGAUUCACCCCAAACAUCGUGGCUGGCUCUGCAGGCUGAUGCCACUGGUGGUGCCCAGCAAGGGAACUGAGUUCAAGUUUCCCCACUCUGAUACUUAUCAAGUGUCCGUGUAAUUUGAGCUUCUCAGUCCUCAGGGCUCUUGGAUUCAGAGUCUUUGGCUGUACCUACCAGCGUCUGUGGGGAGAUGGUGGUCAAGACAGUUAGUGAUGGUUUGACUUGCCUGCCACAUACAGUUUUCCCUCAAGAUGCCUUGCUGCUUCAGCUAGGUUAUUAGAAAGAAUGGAACAUUCCUUUAAAAAAACGAAAGAAUAGUUUCAAUGUAAAAACAAAAAAGAAAAAGAAAGGAUCUGAAGAAGCAGAGGGGAAGUCAGACCUGUGUCAGAGAUGUUGGAGAGUGAAAAAAAUGUGACAGAAGGAAACAGAUCACUGAACACUUGGAGCUAAAUAACAGAUAAGAGAGUAUUCUCAAAGAAGAGGGAGUUGGACUUUACAAGGAAGAUAUAGCUGAUGAUAGAGAUCCAUAAGCACCAUCAGGAGAGAGAUCAUCCAAUAAGAUUCAGAGGAAGAAGGGAUGAAUGGUGUUAGCAGUCCUUUAUUGACCUUAGAGCAAUCAAAAGCUCCUCUGUCUUGUCAGGGAACCUCCCAAGGCAGGAAUACUUCCCCUCACCUGUGUCUUCCCAUCUGUUUCCAACAACACUCAUCCAGACCACAACAGCCACGGAAUUCUCCAGUUUAAUUGCAUUGGAGGAGUUUUUGAAAGACUGGUCCAAGACAAACAAGACUGAGGAGGCCAGGAAAUGGAAACCUACAAUAGUACUGAGUCCACAGAUUUUGCCAAAGCAGAGUAUACAAUGGCGUUUGAAUGAUUUUGGAAAGAAUUAAA